CGGUCAUUGCCAACGUGCUACCGAGCUGACCGGUGGCUGAGAGCGAUAACCGACCGUCAGCCGAUACCGUCAUUUUUCUACCGGAAAAAUUGGAAAUGAAAGCUAGUGAAGAAUAGUAGGAUGGGUUGCUUUCAUGGGGUGCAUGAUAUUUGGAAGGUUGGGCCAUCGUUAUCCAGAUUGAAUUGCAUCCACCAAUUUGUGAUGUUUGUUUGUAUGGAUUGCAGUCCUCUAGAGUAGAUAUC